rnacentral:rRNA from 1 species
CGCGUAGGCGGCGCGGUAAGUCACCUGUGAAACCUCCCGGCUCAACUGGGAGCCUGCAGGCGAAACUACCGUGCUGGAGUGUGGGAUGGGUGCGUGGAAUUCCCGGUGUAGCAGUGAAAUGCGUAGAUAUCGGGAGGAACACCUGUGGCGAAAGCGGCGCACUGGACCACAACUGACGCUGAGGCGCGAAAGCUAGGGGAGCAAACAGGAUUAGAUACCCUGGUAGUCCUAGCCCUAAACGAUGGAUGCUUGGUGUAGCGGGUACCCAAUCCCGCUGUGCCGUAGCUAACGCGAUAAGCAUCCCGCCUGGGGAGUACGGUCGCAAGGCUGAA